UACAGAGGGUGCGAGCGUUAAUCGGAAUUACUGGGCGUAAAGGGCGCGUAGGCGGCCCGCUAAGUCGAACGUGAAAUCCCCGAGCUCAACUCGGGAACUGCGUCCGAUACUGGCGGGCUUGAAUCCGGGAGAGGGAUGCGGAAUUCCAGGUGUAGCGGUGAAAUGCGUAGAUAUCGGGAGGAACACCAGUGGCGAAGGCGGCUUCCUGGCCUGUUCUUGACGCUGAGGCGCGAAAGCUAGGGGAGCAAACGGG
rnacentral:rRNA from 1 species